UUGACGGGGACCCGCACAAGCGGUGGAUGAUGUGAUUAUUCGAUGCAACGCGUAAAACCUUACCUACCCUUGACAUGUCCGGAAUCCCGAAGAGAUUUGGGAGUGCUCGCAAGAGAACCGGAACACAGGUGCUGCAUGGCUGUCGUCAGCUCGUGUCGUGAGAUGUUGGGUUAAGUCCCGCAACGAGCGCAACCCUUGUCAUUAGUUGCCAUCAUUUGGUUGGGCACUCUAAUGAGACUGCCGGUGACAAACCGGAGGAAGGUGGGGAUGACGUCAAGUCCUCAUGGCCCUUAUGGGUAGGGCUUCACACGUCAUACAAUGGUCGGUACAGAGGGUUGCCAACCCGCGAGGGGGAGCUAAUCCCACAAAGCCGAUCGUAGUCCGGGUCGCAGUCUGCAACUCGACUGCGUGAAGUCGGAAUCGCUAGUAAUCGUGGAUCAGCAUGCUGCGGUGAAUACGUUCCCGGGUCUU
rnacentral:rRNA from 1 species